rnacentral:rRNA from 1 species
AGUGAACGCUGGCGGUAGGCCUAACACAUGCAAGUCGAACGGCAGCACAGUAAGAGCUUGCUCUUACGGGUGGCGAGAGGCGGACGGGUCAGGAAUACAUCGGACUCUACUUUUUCGUGGGGGAUAACGUAGGGAAACUUACGCCAAUACAGCAUACGCCCUACGGGGGAAAGCAGGGGAUCUUCGGACCUUGCGCGAUUGAAUGAGCCGAUGUCGGACUAGCUGGUUGGCGGGGUAAAGGCCCACCAAGUCGACGAUCCGUAGCUGGUCUGAGAGGAUGAUCGGCCGCACUGGAACUUAGACACGGUCCAGACUCCUACGGGAGGCAGCAGUGGGGAAUAUUGGACAAUGGGCGCAAGCCUGAUCCAGCCAUACCGCGUGGGUGAAGAAGGCCUUCGGGUUGUAAAGCCCUUUUGUUGGGAAAGAAAAGCAGCAGGUUAAUACCCCGCUGUUCUGACGGUACCCAAAGAAUAAGCACCGGCUAACUUCGUG